rnacentral:rRNA from 1 species
AUUGAACGCUGGCGGCAUGCCUUACACAUGCAAGUCGAACGGCAGCACGGGUGCUUGCCCCUGGUGGCGAGUGGCGAACGGGUGAGUAAUACAUCGGAACAUGUCCUGUAGUGGGGGAUAGCCCGGCGAAAGCCGGAUUAAUACCGCAUACGAUCCACGGAUGAAAGCGGGGGACCUUCGGGCCUCGCGCUAUAGGGUUGGCCGAUGGCUGAUUAGCUAGUUGGUGGGGUAAAGGCCUACCAAGGCGACGAUCAGUAGCUGGUCUGAGAGGACGACCAGCCACACUGGGGCUGAGACACGGCCCAGACUCCUACGGGAGGCAGCAGUGGGGAAUUUUGGACAAUGGGCGAAAGCCUGAUCCAGCAAUGCCGCGUGUGUGAAGAAGGACUUCGGGUUGUAAAGCACUUUUGUCCGGAAAGAAAUCCUUGACUCUAAUACAGUCGGGGGAUGACGGUACCGGAAGAAUAAGCACCGGCUAACUACGUG